AAUCAGUGUGUGUGUUAGUGGAAGCGUCUGGAAAGGCGUGCGAUACAGGGUGACAGCCCCGUACACAAAAAUGCACAUAUUGUGAGCUUGAUGAGUAGGGCGGGACACGUGGUAUCCUGUCUGAAUAUGGGGGGACCAUCCUCCAAGGCUAAAUACUCCUGACUGACCGAUAGUGAACCAGUACCGUGAGGGAAAGGCGAAAAGAACCCCGGCGAGGGGAGUGAAAAAGAACCUGAAACCGUGUACGUACAAGCAGUGGGAGCACGCUUAGGCGUGUGACUGCGUACCUUUUGUAUAAUGGGUCAGCGACUUAUAUUCUGUAGCAAGGUUAACCGAAUAGGGGAGCCGAAGGGAAACCGAGUCUUAACUGGGCGUUAAGUUGCAGGGUAUAGACCCGAAACCCGGUGAUCUAGCCAUGGGCAGGUUGAAGGUUGGGUAACACUAACUGGAGGACCGAACCGACUAAUGUUGAAAAAUUAGCGGAUGACUUGUGGCUGGGGGUGAAAGGCCAAUCAAACCGGGAGAUAGCUGGUUCUCCCCGAAAGCUAUUUAGGUAGCGCCUCGUGAAUUCAUCUCCGGGGGUAGAGCACUGUUUCGGCAAGGGGGUCAUCCCGACUUACCGACCCGAUGCAAACUGCGAAUACCGGAGAAUGUUAUCACGGGAGACACACGGCGGGUGCUAACGUCCGUCGUGAAGAGGG
rnacentral:rRNA from 1 species